AUCUGAGAUAACAAAAACAAUUUGCAAAUAGUCAAUAAACAGUGCAUUCAUUCAUUAUUACUAGAACUACAUUCAUGGAAAAUAAUUUAUAUAAACUAACCAAAAGUCGUUUUUUAAAAAAGGUAAUAUGAUUUAUUUAGAUGGGUUCAACCAUCAGAUUUUUGGGGGGAGGAGGGUAAUCCAUGAAUCUAUUUGUGUGCUAAGUAUUGCUAUAAAUUGAAUGUGUUUUUCACAUCUAUUUAUUACUAUUUUUCAAGUCCUAUAGAUGCAGUUUUGAUUAGUAAAAUGCAAGUUUAUUUUAAGAUGUGACUAAAUUUUUAUCUGAGAAAAUACAUUAUGGCAAAAAGCAAUAACUGGAUACUAAAAAUAUAAUGACCAUUAUGUGAGAGUAUGUAGAAUUCAAGUAUUAAAAAAAGAAGUCCUCCUACCUGAACAUGUUGGUGUAACUGAGCCCAUAUUCAGCUGCCCACUGCUUGAAAGUGAGCCACGAGAAACGAGGUUGGGAAUGCCUUGUUAUCCCCCCUCCCUUUAUAGUUUAGACACAACAACAGCAUUAAUGUUAAAAUAGAGAUCAUGAGACUGGCAGCACAGCCUGUGGCUAUAAGAUACCAAAUCAUAAACAGGACCUAAGGCCAUGCCCGGCAAAGGUUAAGUCUCCACCCCAAGAUAAACGUGUGUUACAUGCAUGUUUGUUCAGUACACAUGUGUCAAGACCACCUUCAUAAAUAUUUAUAGCUACUUCUGUAACCCAUUAAAUAUGUAUGUUGAGCUGAUCUAUCAUAUACCCACAGGAGCCCUGGAUACAAUUGACAGUAGGGAGCAAAUGUAUUGAUUUUCUUGCUGAUAUGGUAGGCCAUUCCAGGUUUCUGCCCUGGUGUGAGAACCAACCGAUGCUCUAAGAGAUUUAACAAUUGCCAAAUAUGUUAAGACGCUAGAUAUUAUACUAACUUUUGUUUAUAAGUUUGCUUCCAGCAGAAUCAUUUUUCCCAUGGAUAUGGACCUGCAUCCUUUUCAACUAAGAAAUAGGUCCUCCUAAAGACCUGGAAGGAACAAGGGCCUGAACAUCAGCUCACUGCCAGGUCAAAAAGUUUCAUUCCACAGUUGCCCCACGUUGACCCUGUUUGGCAAGAAGUAGCCAGCUGAGAGAUGACAUCCCAUUGUCCCUAAUCCCACAAAAUUGUGGAAUGAGCCUUUGACAGUGGGGAAUUGUAGCAGUGAAACAGCAAAAAAAAAAAACCCAACAUAACUAAUUCCAUUUUUAUUUAAGGGGCCUACACCCAUUCCUGCACGUUUGCUAGGGUAAUUUUAGAGCACUGAGAUAAUAUACAAAAACAGCAAUCAAAUAUUUUGUAAAUCGAACUCUGGGAUUAAAGAGGAAGUAUAUAAACAACUAAUUAUGUUUUGUUAAAGAUUUACAGGAGCAUUGUGACCCGACCAAGGACAAAAAAGUUCCCAGCCUCCUUCUCUCAGACCUUUCAUGGUUCCUGAUAGUUGGGGAAUGAUCCGCUGUGCUGCUGCUGUAGCAUCAACGAAUACAUAUACUUCAUCAGCCUCCUCCAUUUCUAAUCUUAGUACUCAGUCCAGCAGUUUGAGUUUGAAAGCUGGGUGAAGUCUUGGAGAAGCUGGAGAGCAGCCCGGGUUUCCUGCUGCGUGAAGGCGAAAGCCUAGAGCUGGUUGGAACAAGCCUCUCUACUCUGACUUAGGUUUGCUCUUCUGGAAAGCUGUGAAAGAGAAGCCGUUUGCAAGGUCAUGUAGAGUAUGGCCCCUCCAGAGGGCCCGGCACCAUCCCAGGCAUUUCACACAUCUCACCCCACGGAGUUGUUAUGCAGGGGAUUACCAAGAGGCCAUUUUGACACAACUGUUUUAACACAGAGCUUAAAAAAUAAAUUAUCAGGUAAUGUCAACUGCCCUGUUUUGACCCUCACACCACUCUGGCGUGUCUCCUCAAUUAUCAUUUUUGUUGAAACCUGUUACCUAGUAUGUACUAUUUUUAUUAUCUUUUCUAGCGCCCCUCUUUCCACUCCCUGUCCCUGAACCUAGCCUACCCCACCCCACCACCACUUCAUUCCUCCUUGUUGGUACCAGCUGGCAAAAUCUAUAUUAUUAGAAAAUUUCUUUGAUAAAAUUGACACUAAUAAAAUAUCUGAAAAUCCACUUUUCUCACGCCAAAGGAUAUUUGAUGAAAAUGAAUUAUGGUAACAGUUAUUCAAAAUGUACAAAAGGUUGAAAGAUAAUAUUUUAUUUAUGAUUAAUUCAUAAGAAAAUUAUAGGAGAUUUAUUUCAGAUAUUUGGAAGUAGUUCUGUGUUUGUAUUCCUUUUUCAGGUGCAAAGUCGCAAAAUUCUUCUCUCCAUUCUGAUACAUUUAAGCACUUUUAUGAUGGCUCUCCCCUUUACAUGUUCUGCUUGUAUUCUUGGUCUUUUCAAGACUGAACAAAUAAAAUUCAUUUACCAAUUGUCACACAUCCACUGUUCCACACUGAACUAGAAUUUGCAUUUGUCAAUGUGCAAACUUUGACCAAGUUGUCUAUUUGGCUAUUGCCUCAUUAGUCUCUUAAACUUUAUAUUUAAGGUAAAAAAAUAACAUAUUUGAUGAAGUCCUCACCAUUUGACUUGAGGACACAUGUGGAGAUGGCAUAGUGGUUAAGAAAGAAUACAGGCAAACUGGUUUUGAAUCCUGGCCCCAUCCACUUUCACUGUAAAGUAAUAUUAGGAAAUUCAUUUAACUUCUUUGUGCUGCAACACACUGUGAGGAGUAAGUGAGUUCUAAAGUGCUUAAUAUCUGUGCCAGGUAUUCUUUCAAGUGUUAUAUGCAUGUUAGCAAUUAUUUUUACUAAUUUAAAAUUGGGUGCAUUUUCUGUUUAGAUGAACAUUCCACUUAGCAGUAAUAAGCAGUUUUCUUUUUUCCUUACUCAUUUUUGAUGCAACUCUAGGAAUAGAAAUUGUAGUUGUGGAAAGAGGCAGGUUUGGGGCAAAAAGCAGAGUAGGGGCUGGGGAAAGGUAUAGAGGUUGAGCAUGGCUCAGGCAUGAACAACGUACAGGUUUACUGGGUAGUUUUGCAAAAGUGCUAUUAAAAGAGAACAGAAGAGAUGAGGUGAUGUUUCCGUUAUGCAUACAACUCAAUUUUUUUUUUCACUGAAGAUUUUAUUGCUUGAUUUUUCUCCCCAUAGCAAAAUGCUCCAGAGAUAAAAAAAAAAGUUGCACCAGGAAGACUUCAUCAAAAUGUCAUGUGCUUCAUUGUUUAAGCAGGUAAAGUAUUGUUGGGUUGUGAAAAUGAAAAAGUGAUAUCAGUAGACUUAGAGGGCCUCAUCCCCGUUCAGGCCCACUUCUGAAUGGGCCUGAUGGGGAAAGGGAAGGAGAAGAG
rnacentral:lncRNA from 1 species